UACGUAGGGUCCGAGCGUUGUCCGGAAUUAUUGGGCGUAAAGGGCUCGUAGGCGGUUUGUCGCGUCGGGAGUGAAAACUCAGGGCUCAACCCUGAGCGUGCUUCCGAUACGGGCAGACUAGAGGUAUGCAGGGGAGAACGGAAUUCCUGGUGUAGCGGUGGAAUGCGCAGAUAUCAGGAGGAACACCGGUGGCGAAGGCGGUUCUCUGGGCAUUACCUGACGCUGAGGAGCGAAAGCAUGGGGAGCGAACAGGAUUAGAUACCCUCGUAGUCC
rnacentral:rRNA from 1 species